GGAGAAUUGCUUGAAAGAUGGGGCAGGGGGCAGCGGCAGAGGUUGCAGUGAGCCAAAUCGGGCCAUUGCACUCCUGGUGAGACCGGAAGGGUCUCUGUGCCAGGAGGAAGGCUUCCUGGAGGAGGCGGACCCCGCUGGGCACAAGCCUGAUGAGAGGGAAGGGCAUGCCUGUGACAUGGGUGGGGAGUCCAGGGUGGGGACGGGACUGUCACAGAGGAGGAGCAUGACGGGGAGACAGUGCCCUGGGAAUCUUGGCGGUGGAACUCCGGGGAGGAGCUGGCUGGGGCGGAGGUGAUGAUCCAGGAUGCGGGCCAGCGUAGGGGUCUUGGGAGAAAGUGCUCGUCGUGCACGGCUUCCCGCCCGCCGUGGCAACCCUUCGGGUAAGGAAGGAGACCAGGCGGCGGCAGGCGGGCAAGGGCUUGGGGUCCGCCCCCCUGCCUGGAGCCGCCCUAACUCCUCCGUAUCCUGCCGCUGUUGGAGUGGGCCUGGAACCCCCUCCAUAGGCGCGCCUCCUACUCCCGCUGCACCCCGACCUCCGCCGGGACCUCUAUGCGCCGCGCCGCACGGGCGAUGGCCUUCGGGCCUCCCCGGCCCCAGGGCACCGCGCAGGUCCCUUUGCUGGCACCAAGCCCGAGCCUGAGCCGGACCCGGGGCCCAAGAGGCCUGUGCGCCCUGCGAGCCCUUGAGCUCCAGGGGAGGUCCGCCCCAGGCAGGGCGGCUCAUCCCCCAGACCACUUCGGAUCCAGCUGUUUGUUGAGGAGCCAGGAAACGCCCUGACACUUUUGCGGCCCUGUCCCCGUCUCUAAGAUGGGGAUGAUAGUAUUUCUGGCCAUUCCUGAGCACAGCAGGACCUGCCUUUUCCCUUUGACUGGAAGGUUCUUCUCUACACCUAUCUUGAUAACCUGCCACCUCCACAGGGAGGUCUUCUCUAUCUCCCGAUUUAAAAUUGCAGCUCUGAGAAGCCGGGCAUGGUGGCAUAUGCCUGUAGUCCCAGCUACGGGGGGAGGCUGAGGUGGGAGGAUCGCUUGGUCCCAGGAGUUGGAGGCUGCAGUGAGCUCUGAUCGCUCCACUGCACUAUAGCCUGGGCAAAAGAGCAAGAAACUGUCUCUAAAAAUAUAAAAUAAAAUUGCACCUCUUGUGUACUUCCCCGUCUGCUUCUUUACCUGAAUACUUACUAUCUCACCGGCUAGGUGCUUUAUGACUCUCGUUAGUCUCUCCCACCCCAACCUUUGCACUACAUUGCCCGAGGGCAGCUCUUGUCACUGCUGUAGAACAAAGUCCUGCACAGAGACGAUAGCCAAGAAAUAGUUAAUAAAAUAAUGGAAAACGGGUGCCUUCUACUGAGCACCCGCUAAUAGUGAGUGAGUAGAGGACUUGCCCUGGGGACAUUCAGUGACCUGCUGGGUGUUGCUGAGCUGUGAGGAAGUUCAGGUCUGGCUGCAGUGGUGAGGCUGUGACUCAAUCAAUCACUGCUGAUGCUCCCAGGACCUGCACCAGCUUAGUCCCAGGGGCAAGGAUUUUAAACCCCCACCUCCAUUUCCUCAUCUGUAAGAUGCAAAUAACAGUCACCUCUGCCUCACGGGAUGGAGCUGUGUAAUGCCCGGAACAGUGCCUGCUGCAUAGAGGGGUUGCUGCCAGCUGCCUCUCCCUCCUUGUCUCUUACCUGCCUGCUGCCUGGGACAGGAUGAAGCGGGGCCCUUGUGUUGCCCCAACCCUGGCUGUUGGCUAAGAGCCCACGUGAUCUGCCUGUGAGAGGAGUUCCUUCCGGAAGAACCAGGGCAGCUUCUGCCCCUAGAGGGCCAAUGCCCUAGCUGAGUGCAGUCCCCCGGCCCCAGCCUGGUCCAGCUUUGGGAAGAGGGUGCCCAGUUGUGCAAUCCAGGCCGGGGCAGCCGUGUCCUGAUCUUGGUAUUCAGGGCUGAGCCUGGAGGGGGCUUGUGAUGCCUGACUCUGUCUCUCUCUCUGGCCCCAUGCCUUGGUAGCUGUGAGGCGUCACUGCUUUGGGUGACCUGAUCUGGCUGUGAUGGAUGAGCACGGGGGAAAUAGUGGAAGACUCGGAAUUAGAAGACGUGAGUGGGCUUUGGCCCCAGCCUCCCUACCCCACUCCCUGUCCUGGGCUGCCUGUGACCAACCUUGUUUCUGCAGGCACACUGGAUAGCCCUGCUGGAGCUCAGUGUCCCUAAUCCCCUCCAGAUACUGGUGGCCUAGGGGAGGUCAUCAAAGACCGGUGGGACAUCGACCUCAGCCCGUUUCCACGCUUUUUUUUGUUUUGUUUUGUUUUUUUGAGACCGAGUUUCACUCUUGUUGCCCAGGCUGGAGUGCAAUGGCGUGAUCUUGGCUCACCGCAACCUCCGCCUCCCGGGUUCAAGCGAUUCUCCUGCCUCAGCCUCCCAAGUAGCUGGGAUUACAGGCGUGUGCCACCAGGCUUGACUAAUUUUCUAUUUUUAGUAGAGACAAGGUUUCUCCAUGUUGGUCAGGCUGGUCUCAAACUCCCGACUUCAGGUGGUCUGCCUGCCUCGGCCUCCCAAAGUGCUGGGAUUACAGGAGUGAGCCACCGUGCCAGGCCUUCUCCAGGCUCUUGGCACCUUAGCCAGAAACAAUUUAAGGACAAGUGCAAAAGUCAUGAAUGUAGGCAGAUUUCCUGCAGAGUAAAGGGACUCACUGAAGAAGAGGAACGUGGGGGUCCUCAAGAGAGUGUCUCAUGCCCUACAAGGUGUGGGGCUGACCUUUAUGGGCUUCUUCAACUAAAGAGGGGUAUAUUCAUGAAGAGUCCAGGAAAAGGUAAAGAUUUCUCAAGACCGUGGUGCCACAAUUUACACCCAAAUACAGGUGUUCCUGGAGCCGUCUUGGCACUGGUGGGUGUACGGUUUCAUAUGUUACUGAUCAUACAAUGAGAUCCUAGGUGAAACCUACAUCAAAUACAGCGCCAUGUUGUGUCUGGUUGGUCGUAGCCAGCUUGGUCCUCAUCCUAUUUUUCAGGGACUUAUUGGCCCUUAGCGCAUGCAGCUAUUUCAAGUUUCCUUCUUCUCCUCAUGUGAAACUGCUGCCUGGGAUUUUGUAUUCACUUGCUACCACUCUAUUAAUCUCACAUUCUCGCCUCUUUUCUGUGUCACCCCGUGUGGGUCCGACAGGUUGUUACUAGAGUGCAAUACAAAGUCUUAGUCAAGGGAACCUCCUGAGGGUUGCUGAGGGCAGGGGUGGAGCUAGUAGCCUGAGGACCUGCCAGUCACGGGGAUUCCUCAUGGGCACAGAGGAGGGAGGAGGGGUCCAUGGCCCUAGCAUAUGAGAAGCCUCUCCUCUGCCUGGAAUUCCCAUGCCUCAGCUUCCCCCACACUCCCACCUGUCCGCUUGCCUCUGAACUCACGCAUUUCUUGGAAGUCUUGGGAGAUUCACCUUUACUCAGAUGGUUGUUUACCUGUCUCGUGCACAGCUUGACCUUGGACUUUAAAGUGAGGAUAAAGAACGAGGAGGAUGGGGGGAUGCCCCCCUUCCACGGGGCCCUGUGGCUUCCAAACCUCGGCCUCCUCUGGUCUCUUGUCUGUGGAGCCUCCUUCAAACCCAGGGAAAUAAAACCACCUGCCACGGGUUGUGGUUCUUCUA